rnacentral:rRNA from 1 species
CAGCAGUGGGGAAUAUUGCACAAUGGGCGCAAGCCUGAUGCAGCCAUGCCGCGUGUAUGAAGAAGGCCUUCGGGUUGUAAAGUACUUUCAGCAGUGAGGAAGGUGGGUAUGUUAAUAGCAUAUUCAUUUGACGUUAGCUGCAGAAGAAGCACCGGCUAACUCCGUGCCAGCAGCCGCGGUAAUACGGAGGGUGCGAGCGUUAAUCGGAAUUACUGGGCGUAAAGCGCAUGCAGGUGGUUUGUUAAGUCAGAUGUGAAAGCCCGGGGCUCAACCUCGGAAUUGCAUUUGAAACUGGCAAACUAGAGUACUGUAGAGGGGGUAGAAUUUCAGGUGUAGCGGUGAAAUGCGUAGAGAUCUGAAGGAAUACCGGUGGCGAAGGCGGCCCCCUGGACAGAUACUGACACUCAGAUGCGAAAGCGUGGGGAGCAAACAGGAUUAGAUACCCCUGGUAG